CCUACGGGCGGCUGCAGUGGGGAAUUUUGGACAAUGGGGGCAACCCUGAUCCAGCCAUGCCGCGUGCGGGAAGAAGGCCUUCGGGUUGUAAACCGCUUUCGGCCGGAACGAAAUCGCCGGGGAGAACAUCCCCGGUGGAUGACGGUACCGGAAGAAGAAGCACCGGCUAACUACGUGCCAGCAGCCGCGGUAAUACGUAGGGUGCGAGCGGUAAUCGGAAGUGCUCAGCGUAAAGCGUGCGCCAGCGGUGAAAGCCCCGGGCUUAACCUGGGAACUGCGUUUGUUACUGGCGGGCUGGAGUGCGGAAGAGGGAGGUGGAAUUCCACGUGUAGCAGUGAAAUGCGUAGAGAUGUGGAGGAACACCGAUGGCGAAGGCAGCCUCCUGGUCUAGCACUGACGCUCAUGCACGAAAGCGUGGGGAGCAAACAGGAUUAGAUACCCUAGUAGUC
rnacentral:rRNA from 1 species